UACGUAGGUGGCAAGCGUUGUCCGGAUUUACUGGGCGUAAAGAGCGCGCAGGCGGUCGUUCAAGUCGAGUGUGAAAGCCCCCGGCUCAACUGGGGAGGGUCACUCGAUACUGAUCGACUCGAAGGCAGGAGAGGGUAGUGGAAUUCCCGGUGUAGUGGUGAAAUGCGUAGAUAUCGGAAGGAAUAUCAGUGGCGAAGGCGACUUCCUGGACCAAUACUGACGCUCAGGUGCGAAAGCGUGGGGAGCAAACAGGGAU
rnacentral:rRNA from 1 species